UGCAACUUAGUAGAAUGGGAUAUUGCAGAGUAGAAGUGUGUGUAGCUUGUGAUGGGAGCAGGGGGAUAAGACACUAGGGAAUGCUCCAGGAGGAAUGCUUGGGUCAAGCAUUGUAGGCCGGCAUUCUGAGUCCAGGCUGCAUGCAAGGACACUAAAGAGCAAACUACCUGUGGCGAGUAGGGAGGGUGCUCGGCAAGAGAUUAGGUGGACGAGUAAAGGCCCUGUAUGUCUUCCUGUAGAAUUACGGUUUGCUUUUGGGAUAGGGAGAACUGUAUAGUUGAAAGGGUUUGAAUCUGGUGAGAUUUGAAUUCUAAAAGAUCAUUCUGGUAGAUCAUGUUCUGGUGGACAGUGAAGUGGUGUAGGGAAUGAGACCAUAGAUGGGAGGGCAGCAGGGAAACUAAUGUGAUGGUUAGCAUCAGAAAAUAUGCAGAGCUAGGUGAGGCAGUGUAAAGGCAUGAAGGAAAUGGGCGUGACACGUGAAGACAACAGAAUAGAGAACUUACUGAUUAAUUGGAGGCCAUAAAAGGCAUCAGAGAUGACUCUUCCAUUUUAUCUUUGAGCGACCAGGUGAGUAUUAAUUCCAUUAACUGCCUGCUCCCCCAAAUAAAAUGCUGCACAAAGUCCAAGGAAGGUCUGAAAAAGUGUCCAGCAGUUAGGCAUCUAGGAUGUCAUUGAUGAUGGAGCAAACACAAAUGGGCAGAGGACAGCAUGUGGCCCUCCCUAAUGGAAUGGGCCUUGUCUGGUCUGCUGAAGGUCUGAAUCCACACAAAGGCUGCCUCUUCUACCAAUAAAGGGUGCUUCUGCCUGAUCAUCUUGAACUACCAAGGAUCGAACUUGGGUCCUGCUUGCGAGGGAGGCGGCGGAACCACUGAGCUAAAUCCUCGGCCCCAUAAUUGAAUGUUCUUAAUCAACCACUUAUAAGAUCAAGGCUCUGAGUAAUUGUGUAUAUGAUGCUUUUGGCCAUUUUAGGCAAACAAACAAAUAAAAUGAAGUUACCUGGUUGCUUCCAGUGUCAUUGGGCAAAGUGGGGAAAGAAAAGGAUGAGCUCAGGGAUUCAGAUUCCUAGCUUGAGCACCACAUAAAUGAUCCGAAGGCUCUGUGUGUGUCCUGAA